AUGCCCAUUCCAAUAACCUCAGAUAAGAGUCAUAAUGAGGAAAAAUGUAAGAGAAGCGGCAAGGGCCCGCAACACCCUUGGAAACGGCGCCCAGCCAAGGAGGCGGAGUGUCGGAAAUGUAAAAAAAAGGGACACUUUGCUGCAGUUUGCAGAUCAUCACAGAGAGUGGAAACAUUAGUGGAGAGCGACCCAGAAGAGGACAUAGCUUUUAUGGGGUCUGUUAACACUGAUGAGACUGAGGAGGAAUGGCUGAAAAAUCUCAGUUUUAAUGGAGAAAAUGUGACGUUCAAACUGGAUGCAGGAGCUUCAGUCACAGCGGUUCCAGCUUCUAUGUAUUCCGAAGUGCGGGAUGGCAGCUUGCCGGCACCUUCCAAAAAGAUUAAAGGUCCUGAUAACUGCCCUUUAAAAGUCCUGGGGGUCAUGAGAGCACACAUCAAAUCUGAAAAAACAGAAACAAGACAGGAUGUGUAUGUGGUGUCAAACCUAGUGAUGCCUUUAAUGGGACUCCCUGCCAUAAUAAAGCUGAACCUGAUAAAGCAGGUAGCCUCAGUCCAGCAGGAGAAGCAAGAUAAAUGCCAUCAGUACAAAGCUAUGUUCCCAAAAGUGUUUACAGACCUUGGGAAGCUGGAAGGGGCAUAUAAAAUAAAACUGAAAGGAGCGGUCCCAUAUGCUCUCUCAGCCCCGCGCAGAGUCCCUUUACCUAUGAAAGAACAAGUCAAACAAGAGCUAGACAGGAUGGAAGCAAUGGGGGUUAUAAGGAGAAUGGAGGAGCCUACCGCAUGGUGCGCCGGGAUGGUGGUGGUUCCCAAGCCAAACAAAAAACCCCGCGUUUGUGUGGACCUCACUCGACUGAAUGAAAAUGUGUGCAGGGAACAUCACAUCCUACCUGCAGUGGAUGAUACGCUGGCUCAGCUGGAAGGGGCAAAAGUGUUUUCUGAAUUAGAUGCAACAUCUGGGUUUUGGCAGGUGCCUCUGCACAAAGAUUCCCAGCCAUUAACAACUUUUAUGACCCCUUUUGGCCGAUACUGCUUCCAGCGAUUCCCUUUUGGCAUAUCGUCUGCACCAGAACAUUUUCAGUUGAGGAGCUCACAGAACUUCGCAGGAGAAAAAGGAGCGUUGUGCCACGCGGAUGAUAUUCUAGUGUUUGGCAAAGACAAAGUGGAACAUGACGAACGGCUACAGCAGGUGCUUAAAAGAAGGGAGAAGGCUGGCCUGAUUCUCAAUGAAAAAUGUGAGUUUUCGAUGGAGAGAGUGAAGUUGCUGGGACACAACAUAAAUGUAACAGGAAUCGAGGCAGAUCCGGAUAAAAUCAGCACCAGUGAAAGCAUGCCCGAACCACGAGUCAGCAGACGCGUCCUCAUAUCGGCUCAGAGCGGUUCUUUUACAGCGGCAGGCAGACGACAGGUGGAGACCUGUUAUAUAUAUAUCACGGAGCCUGACACCCACAGAGGUACAAUAUGCCCAGAUUGA
rnacentral:lncRNA from 1 species